rnacentral:rRNA from 1 species
CCUACGGGAGGCAGCAGUGAGGAAUAUUGGUCAAUGGACGAGAGUCUGAACCAGCCAAGUAGCGUGAAGGAUGACUGCCCUAUGGGUUGUAAACUUCUUUUAUAUGGGAAUAAAACGUUCCACGUGUGGGAUUUUGUAUGUACCAUAUGAAUAAGGAUCGGCUAACUCCGUGCCAGCAGCCGCGGUAAUACGGAGGAUCCGAGCGUUAUCCGGAUUUAUUGGGUUUAAAGGGAGCGUAGGUGGAUUGUUAAGUCAGUUGUGAAAGUUUGCGGCUCAACCGUAAAAGUGCAGUUGAAACUGGCAGUCUUGAGUACAGUAGAGGUGAGCGGAAUUCGUGGUGUAGCGGUGAAAUGCUUAGAUAUCACGAAGAACUCCGAUUGCGAAGGCAGUUCACUGGACUGCAACUGACACUGAGGCUCGAAAGUGUGGGUAUCAAACAGGAUUAGAAACCCUAGUAGUC